AAUGAAGAAAUAAACUCAUUAGAAUCAGUGUUUCCAGGGUGUUCUGUUUUAAUUUGUGACUUUCAUCGAGAGCAAUCUUGGGAACGAUGGCUUUCUAAAACUGCUAAUGGUUGUUAUAUGGUAAAAGAUGCAAUUAAGUUAAAACUACAUCAAAUUGCUCAUGCUAAAACAGAAGAAAUUUGCCAAAAUGCUGUUAAUUCAUUAAAAGAAUCAGAAGAGUGGAAAAAUAACCCAAAACUAGCUGAUUAUUUAAAUAGCACUUGGUUAUGUAAUCAAAAGAGAUGGGUGUUUGCCUACAGGCGACAACGCUUAUUGCGAAGUAUCAAUACUAAU
rnacentral:lncRNA from 1 species